UACGGGGGGAGCAAGCGUUGUUCGGAUUUACUGGGCGUAAAGCGUGCGCAGGCGGUUUUGUAAGUCUGGCGUGAAAUCCCCGGGCUUAACCUGGGAAUUGCGUUGGAGACUGCAAGGCUAGAAUCUGGCAGAGGGGGGUAGAAUUCCACGUGUAGCAGUGAAAUGCGUAGAGAUGUGGAGGAACACCGAUGGCGAAGGCAGCCCCCUGGGUCAAGAUUGACGCUCAUGCACGAAAGCGUGGGGGGCAAACAGG
rnacentral:rRNA from 1 species